GAUGAACGCUGGCGGCGUGCUUAACACAUGCAAGUCGAACGAAACACCUUAUUUGAUUUUCUUCGGAACUGAAGAUUUGGUGAUUGAGUGGCGGACGGGUGAGUAACGCGUGGGUAACCUGCCCUGUACAGGGGGAUAACAGUCAGAAAUGACUGCUAAUACCGCAUAAGACCACAGCACCGCAUGGUGCAGGGGUAAAAACUCCGGUGGUACAGGAUGGACCCGCGUCUGAUUAGCUGGUUGGUGAGGUAACGACUCACCAAGGCGACGAUCAGUAGCCGGCUUGAGAGAGUGAACGGCCACAUUGGGACUAAGACACGGCCCAAACACCUACGGGAGGCAGCAGUGGGGAAUAUUGCACAAUGGGGGAAACCCUGAUGCAGCGCCGCCGCGUGAGUGAAGAAGUAUCUCGGUAUGUAAAGCUCUAUCAGCAGGGAAGAAAAUGACGGUACCUGACUAAGAAGCCCCGGCUAACUACGUGCCAGCAGCCGCCGCAGUAA
rnacentral:rRNA from 1 species